rnacentral:rRNA from 1 species
CAGUAGCCACGGGAAUACGAGGGGGGCGAGCGUUGUUCGGAAUUAUUGGGCGUAAAGGGUGCGUAGGCGGUUCGGUAAGUCUUAUGUGAAAUCUUCGGGCUCAACUCGAAGUCUGCAUGAGGAACUGCCGGGCUUGAGUGUGGGAGAGGUGAGUGGAAUUUCCGGUGUAGCGGUGAAAUGCGUAGAUAUCGGAAGGAACACCGAUGGCGAAGGCAAUCCCCUGGACCUGUACUGACGCUCAUGCACGAAAGCGUGGGGAGCAAACGGGAUUAGAUACCCGCGUAGUCCCUGUCUCUUAUAC